ACGAUCUAGGGCUGCUGGGUGGUGAACGGCGGCUGCUGGGCGAACAGCGGCUCGGCGGCAACUGGGUGAACGGCGACGGUGAUGGUGGUGAACGCCUCCAGCAAGUGUGGGUUCUCGGCUCCAGCACUCUCGGCAUCGUUGACAGGAAUGGUGACAGGAAAAUCUUCUCCGGCGUUGGUUCUCGGCUCCAGCACUCUCGGCGGCGGUGCGGGUUCUCGGCUCCAUAACUCUCGGCGGCGGCGUGCUUCUCAGCGUGGGUCUCUGCUGGUUGCUGGUUCACGAUUCCAGCAGACCUCUUCUCUCUCAAAAUCCCUAGAAUUCCUCUACACAUCUAGCUCUCACUGCCUUUGAAAUCCCUCAUUUCAGUACAAAGGGACCAAAGCCCAAAUGAAUCCUCAUCAUAUCAUCUCACUGUUUCUAUGUGCAUCGUCUUCCCCCUUCUUUCUCUACGGAGCUGUCUAGGUUUCAUUUCAUUUACAACCAAGUGUGCUGUUGCAGCCCCAAAUUAGUAGAAAUUAAAUGAUGGCUUCUACUAAAGAUCAAGUUCUACAAGCUAGCAAAUAUAGUCGGAAAUUGCACUAAAUGAUCAGGUUCGUUGCUUGAAAGAAUUUGGGGUUACCAAGGGAGAAUUGACUCGCUAUUUGGAUGUACUUUUGAAAGAUAGUGAACAUCUGGCAGCUAUGAUUGAUAAUGUGUCAUCCGUAGAUAAUUUGGAUUUCAUUAUGGAGAGUGACGCAUUGGGCCAUACAGUAAUGGACCAGAGGCAAGGACAUGAGAGUUUGGUCACUGUUGCUGGAACAAUUAAACUUGAGGAGGUAAAUUCUAUUGGGGCUAAAGUAUUGGGACAACUCAAAACACAUUUUUUUUCAGUGAUUUACAAUAAAUAAAAACAUGUACUGGUGAACUAUGUUUUAAUUUUCAUGUAAUAUGUUUUUUUUUUAACCUAAUUUUUUGUUAAAUUUUUAUGUAGUAUAUUUCUGUUAAUUGAUGUUGAGCUUUGCUUAGUCAGAUUAUACAUUUUU